UACGGAGGGUGCAAGCGUUAUCCGGAUUUACUGGGUUUAAAGGGUGUGUAGGCGGACUUUUAAGUCAGGGGUGAAAUCUCCGAGCUCAACUCGGAAACUGCCUUUGAUACUAUUAGUCUUGAAUUAUGUUGAGGUUGGCGGAAUAUAACAUGUAGCGGUGAAAUGCAUAGAUAUGUUAUAGAACACCGAUUGCGAAGGCAGCUGGCUAAACAUAUAUUGACGCUGAGGCACGAAAGCGUGGGUAGCGAACAGG
rnacentral:rRNA from 1 species